rnacentral:misc_RNA from 1 species
UUGCAACUUCGAGGCCAUUGGUCCUGUCUAUAUGUUGGGAAUCUGUACUUAUAAUAUAGCUAAGCAAACCUGCUUUUUUUCUAUUUGGUUGUUAUCCACCAUCAACCUAUAAACAAUGGGCCUAUCGGUUAUGGUUGCACUUGAGGUACAGGGUCGACAGUAGAAGGCCGUCCUGUACCUUGUAGCACUCCUGUCGCGCUUUAUAAUUUUGGGACCAAGUCACGAAAGCCUUUGCCCACCAACUAAAGGGGAGGUAAAAUUGCAGCAGAAUCAUUAACAUGGAGAGAGCUUUUCAUUGCUGAAGACGCAAGAUAAUCGAGUUUGCACUUGUCUGCCUUUGUUAAUCAGAUUCAGAGAUCCUUCGGAGAAAUAACGUCUAUUUCCUUCUCAUUUUUUAUUUCCUCCUAGCCUGAUAGCCUGGCAAUCAGCAGAAGGAAUCCAACAAAUUGGCAACUUGCAUCCUUUAAGGACAAAAACUGAGCUUCCUGAAAGAACAUGCAAGGAGAGGUGAUUCUGAAGGGAAGAGGCUUAGAUGGUGCUUGGUACUUAAUGCCUACAGAUUGAGCAACAACAAUUAUCUGCAAGACAUCAGUUUACAUCAUCCACACAACCAUUUAAAUUUCUGUAAUUGUGUUUACCCAUUUGACAAUUGGGAUCAUCAUGUUCUGAUACAGAUACCUCACAUUAAUUGAUGCUGCAGAUACACGCCAUAGCGACAACUACAAAGUACAUAGUAUUGCCAUUUAAAUUAUAUGAUUUCAAAAAAAGAAAAAAAUCAUUGUCAAAAAAGAACUUGAUGAAAGAAAAGGUAUAGAAGGGAAGGAACAAAACCAAGAUCUCAAGAGCAAAAGUUUUGCGGAGGAACCAGUGUUUGAGCAUCUGAGAAGUUGCAUGAUUGAGCUUCCUCCUAGAUAAGAUUUCUAACAUUUCAUUUAUAAUGUCUACUGAGAAAUCACAAUUGAUUUAUGUUGGAACUUGGCUUCUAGCUUCCUCUGAAGCAUAAGCUGUUACAUUUGAAGUCUCCGUAGAGCCGCCACCAACCUUGUCUUUUGUGUUGGUCCAUUUUUCAAUAACACUAUUUCCAGCCUCAGAUGAUUCUUCAA